rnacentral:lncRNA from 1 species
CUUGGCCCUGGUUCCUUCUGUUGGAUUGUCACAGGGUGUCUGUGAAAAGGACAGUGACAUGCACCAUUCUGUAGGAACCAUCAAAGAAGUUGUAUUUAGUGGCAUUUGCACUAUGGUCCUCCAGGUUCCACGAGCAUUGGCAGGUAAUCUGGGACUGAUAAACUCUGGCCAUGAAUUUCAGAUGGAGGUAUCUGUGGCUGAGCUUCUGUAUCUGCAUGGAGACAACCGGAUAAAUGAUCAGACAUUGGACCAUAUUGUAUUGGUUUUUCCUGCACAGAAAACAGUGGGAGUUCUGGACAAAGAUGAAAGGGAGAAUAUGUACUGUGAGCUGUUUGUUUUCUACUCAUAAUAUCUUUUUCAAAAGACAUUCUGUAUUUAGAACAAAUAAAAACUGCCUAUAUUUUAAUGUUGAAAGGUUG